rnacentral:snRNA from 1 species
GGAUGUGGGUGUGAUUUGGCUGUAAUAUGUCACCUCAUUGAUUAAUAGGGUUGAUUGGGGUAGCCUGGCUGGCUAAAUGAGUCCCCUUCCUCCCUCAGUGCUCCAUGUGUGUCUCUCCUGAAGCUAUGUGCUCUGGUGAAGAGGACGACCUUCUCCAGGGAGGUCCAUUCCUUGAUUAGGGGCUUAUGAGUAUCUAUGCUUCCCUGCCAGACUCUCCAAACAAGCUCUCAGUGGUGUAAAUGUAUGAUGAUGCCCAGACUAGGAUGAG